AACGAACGCUGGCGGCAGGCCUAACACAUGCAAGUCGAACGCCCUAGCAAUAGGGAGUGGCAGACGGGUGAGUAACACGUGGGAACCUUCCCUAUAGUACGGAAUAGCCCAGGGAAACUUGGAGUAAUACCGUAUACGCCCGAGAGGGGAAAGAUUUAUCGCUAUAGGAUGGGCCCGCGUAGGAUUAGCUAGUUGGUGAGGUAAUGGCUCACCAAGGCGACGAUCCUUAGCUGGUCUGAGAGGACGACCAGCCACACUGGGACUGAGACACGGCCCAGACUCCAACGGGAGGCAGCAGUGGGGAAUAUUGGACAAUGGGCGCAAGCCUGAUCCAGCCAUGCCGCGUGAGUGAUGAAGGCCUUAGGGUUGUAAAGCUCUUUUGUCGGGGAAGAUAAUGACGGUACCCGAAGAAUAAGUCCCGGCUAACUUCGUGCCAGCAGCCGCCGUAA
rnacentral:rRNA from 1 species